UGGGGAAUAUUGCACAAUGGGCGCAAGCCUGAUGCAGCCAUGCCGCGUGUGUGAAGAAGGCCUUCGGGUUGUAAAGCACUUUCAGCGAGGAGGAAGGUGGUGAGCUUAAUACGCUCAUCAAUUGACGUUACUCGCAGAAGAAGCACCGGCUAACUCCGUGCCAGCAGCCGCGGUAAUACGGAGGGUGCAAGCGUUAAUCGGAAUUACUGGGCGUAAAGCGCACGCAGGCGGUUUGUUAAGUCAGAUGUGAAAUCCCCGGGCUCAACCUGGGAACUGCAUUUGAAACUGGCAAGCUAGAGUCUCGUAGAGGGGGGUAGAAUUCCAGGUGUAGCGGUGAAAUGCGUAGAGAUCUGGAGGAAUACCGGUGGCGAAGGCGGCCCCCCUGGACGAAGACUGACGCUCAGGUGCGAAAGCGUGGGGCAGCAAACAGGAUUAGAUACCCUGGUAGUCCAGCGCUGUAAACGAUGUCGAUUUGGAGGUUGUGCCCUGAGGCGUGGCUUCCGGAGCUAACGCGUUAAAUCGACCGCCUGGGGAGUACGGCCGCAAGGUUAAAACUCAAAUGAAUUGC
rnacentral:rRNA from 1 species